rnacentral:rRNA from 1 species
UGGGGAAUAUUGGACAAUGGGCGCAAGCCUGAUCCAGCCAUGCCGCGUGAGUGACGAAGGUCUUCGGAUUGUAAAGCUCUUUUGGCGGGGACGAUAAUGACGGUACCCGCAGAAUAAGCCCCGGCUAACUUCGUGCCAGCAGCCGCGGUAAUACGAAGGGGGCUAGCGUUGUUCGGAAUUACUGGGCGUAAAGCGCACGUAGGCGGACUGAUAAGUCAGGGGUGAAAUCCCGGGGCUCAACCUCGGAACUGCCUUUGACACUGUUAGUCUCGAGUCUGGAAGAGGUGAGUGGAAUUCCUAGUGUAGAGGUGAAAUUCGUAGAUAUUAGGAAGAACACCAGUGGCGAAAGGCGGCUCACUGGUCCGGUACUGACGCUGAGGUGCGAAAGCGUGGGGAG